CCCGAAGCGGUGCCCGUGGCGGUGCCGGGCCCCCGCCUGCCCCGUCCCCGCCCGCGGUGGGUGCCGCCGGGGAGCGGGGCUGCCGCGGUCGCCGGAGCCCCCCGUCCAUGCGAGUGCCCUCUCCGCUCAGCAGCAUGCUUUACUUCCAGAUGGUGAUCAUGGCAGGGACCGUGAUGCUGGCUUACUACUUCGAGUACACCGACACCUUCGCCGUCAACGUGCAGGGCUUCUUCUGCUACGAGGGCGCGUACCGCAAACCCUACCCGGGCCCGGAGGACAGUAGCGCCGUGCCCCCGGUGCUCCUCUACUCGCUGACGGCGGGCGUGCCCGUGCUGGUGAUUAUCGUUGGAGAAACUGCAGUGUUUUGCCUACAGUUAGCUACAAAGGAUUUUGAAAACCAAGAAAAAACAAUAUUAACUGGAGACUGUUGUUAUAUAAAUCCACUGGUGCGCAGAACCGUCAGAUUCCUUGGAAUUUACGCAUUUGGACUGUUUGCUACGGACAUCUUUGUAAACGCUGGACAAGUAGUAACAGGGAAUCUCGCACCACAUUUUCUUGCACUUUGUAAACCCAACUAUACAGCACUUGGAUGUAAACAGUAUACACAAUUCAUCAGUAGUGCACAAGCCUGUACAGGAAACCCAGACCUUAUCAUGAAAGCCAGAAAGACAUUCCCAUCCAAAGAAGCAGCACUAAGCGUAUAUGCAGCUAUGUAUCUGGCUAUGUAUAUCACCAGCACAGUAAAAGCCAGAGGAACAAGGCUUGCAAAACCUGUUCUGUGUUUGGGCUUAAUGUGCUUAGCUUUCCUCACUGGAAUCAACAGAGUAGCAGAGUAUCGAAAUCACUGGUCAGAUGUAAUAGCAGGAUUUGUAAUUGGAAUAUCUAUAGCAGUAUUUUUGGUUGUUUGUGUGGUAAAUAACUUCAGAGGACGUCAGCCAGAACAUGAACAUUCUCAUAUGGAUAAUCUGGCCCAGAUGCCCAUGAUCAGCAUACCCCGAGUAGAAAGCCCUUUAGAAAAGGAACUUCGAAUUUCUUCCACGGUGUAGCCAUGAUGUGAUGUGGACAGGCAGACUGUUCUACAUCCCCACCUGGAUACGCAGUUUAAACAUCACCCUCUAAAGCCCCAAAGAAACUGUGUGUUGUAUCAAGGCAAGGGUUGGACCUAGGGUCUAAAGACAGCGUUAUGCCACACUUCUUCAUCUCGACUAGAAAGGUUUAAGAUCUACUUUUCCACAGCUGAAAAGAAAUAUAAAUACCAUCUUCUUCAGCUGACAUGAGAGCAGAAAUCAAAGAAUGCCCUGGUCUCUGAACUACAAAUCCACCUAGUGUGUUCCUGAUUUAUGAGGUGUACAUUGUUACAAUUUAUCCUACCAAUUAAAUAUGGUCCUGAAUCCAUUUUCUUACACUGAUCUCACUGAGGCAGCUAGUGCGAUAAAUUAAAUCUUACAUCAGUGGUUCCUGCAGGACAGCACAAUGUUCAACAGACAUCAUACAGCUGGCCAGAAGGUGUAAGCUAGACACUGCCAGGGCAGAGCACUAAUGGACACGAACAGGGCGACUUGUAGCCAAAGGAACUUGGCCCAAAAGCCGAACUACCCGCUGAAGAAAACGGAGUGCAUGCACCUUGUCUGAGGACUCCAUGAGAUUAUACCAGAAGUACUUUCUGAAAAGGCCAUGUCCUGCCAGGCAAUGUCCCUUCCCUACGGUGAACAGCAGUAAGACCAGCUGCUAUACAAGUUGUAUGAAAUUGCCACUCAUCACUGAGUCACUCUGUGCAAAUGCAGUCGUUUUUAGCAAGUUGCCAACAAACCAUACAAAUGGGAAGUACUGAUAAAAGGGAUGCAAUGUUGAAAAGUUGAUCUAACUAGCUGUGUACAAAUAACUUAAGCAGUGACCUGUAACACUCCUUUUUGCCAAAACAAAUUAUUAAUAUAUAUUGUGCUUUCACAUACAACGCAACUAAUAGACCUGUCUAUGAUACAGCCACUGUGAGACCUCACUUAGCAAUUAAUUGUCCAGUGCAUAGACAGAUAUAUCUUAUAGAUAGGCUGAGACUAGAAAUAUUUAAGUAAAGGUUUGCUGGAAGAUGGUCUUUGCUUAUUCCUAUAAAUGUGAAAUUAGUGUUAUAUAACAUGUUAAUUUAUUUCCAAGAGAAACUGUAUUUCAGUCACCUUUUAUGUGACAUUCCCUAUAAACCUGGGGGAGCAAAGAGCAGAUGUGGUUCUCCUGGCAGCCAGCGAUCUCUCUGACCCCUGCUGGCUGGUUCCUGGCUGCAGCGAUGCCCCUGAACAUCCCUGCUACCCUGGGCCAGGGAAACCGUACGAGCCCCCACGCUCCCUCCAACUCCACUCUCCCUCCAACUCCACUCUCCGUGUUGCCCAGAGGCUGCCCCCUCCCCACCUUUCAGUUUUACAGAUUUGGCCUGCAUCCACCAAGCCCUUCAUGACGGUGCUCUGCCCGCGCGGGGCAGGCAGGACAGCCAGGAGACAAACCUGGGGCUCGGGCCCCAUGGCUGGAGCAGCUGGGGAGACACGGUGGGCUGGGCGAGGAGCCGGCAGCACGGAAAUACGAUGGCAUUGCUGGUAGCUGCAGCUGGCAGAGGACCAAGACCUGUCCUCUGUGCCCCAGCUCCGAGCAUCGGGGGCUUCUCUGCCUCCUCGCAUUUUGUAAGAGCUUUAAACUUUAUCCCUAAACUAAGGACAGGAGAAGCAGCUGAGGAAGCAGAGAAACAAAAACAGAUGAGAGAGCAAAAAGGCAGUAAAAUUUAAGUAAACAGAAUUUCUGCUUCAGGAGAAAAAAUUUUAAAAAAUAGGUGUAUUUACUGACUGUCCCACUGCAGUACACAGAGGCAAAUUAUGAAAUACACUGUAGACAUCACAGAUUUAGAUAGUGGUAAUAUAUUCUUAUUUAUUCAUUUAAUUGACAAGAAAUCAAAUGAAAAUAUGCACUUCAGCUGCCAAAAACUACCUAAACAGCUCAUCUUUACAUGAAAGCUAAUUACAACAACCCUAAUAAAAAAUGUCUGAAAUGUCAAGGACUUUCUCCAUCGAUAUACUAGAAAGUUGCAGUAAUUAUUAUCUAGUCAUUUUUAUAUAUUAUUUACACUGUAUAAUGCUUGGUGUUAACACUGGGCUAAAAGGACAUUAUUUAGGCUGUAGAGCUCAACUAUUAAAAAUUUUAAAAAAUGCCAGUUCUGCUCUCCACCAUAGCUCUAAGCUGCAUAGGUGGUAACGGAGGAGUGCAGAAAAGGUGUCCCAGCAUUGGUGCCGACAUUGCACAAGAGUAGGCUGAGGCCAGAAGUGAGCCAGUGGCAACAGUGGGCAGGCCAGCACUGAGGCCGUGCAAAUUUAUCCCAAAAUUCCUUUAAGUCAUCCCACUGAACUUCACUGGUGGCUUUCAGCAUGCCUGCUUCCAUGAGUUACUACAGGUAUGGUCUCACUGCACUAGAAUGAAGAUGUCCGACUGCUA